rnacentral:rRNA from 1 species
UACGUAGGGGGCGAGCGUUGUCCGGAAUCAUUGAGCGUAAAGAGCGUGUAGGUGGCUUGGAAAGUCUUACGUGAAAGCCUGCGGCUCAACCGCAGAAGUGCGUAGGAAACUUCCUCGCUAGAGUCCGGAAGAGGAGAGCGGAAUUCCUGGUGUAGCGGUGGAAUGCGCAGAGUAUCAGGAAGAACACCUAUGGCGAAGGCAGCUCUCUGGGACGGUACUGACGCUGAGACGCGAAAGCGUGGGGAGCGAACAGG